rnacentral:rRNA from 1 species
AUUGAACGCUGGCGGCAUGCUUUACACAUGCAAGUCGAACGGUAACAGGGUGCAUGCACCGCUGACGAGUGGCGAACGGGUGAGUAAUGCGUCGGAACGUGCCGAGUAGUGGGGGAUAACGCAGCGAAAGUUGUGCUAAUACCGCAUACGUACUGAGGUAGAAAGUGGGGGACCUUCGGGCCUCACGCUAUUCGAGCGGCCGACGUCUGAUUAGCUAGUAGGUGAGGUAAAGGCUCACCUAGGCGACGAUCAGUAGCGGGUCUGAGAGGAUGAUCGGCCACACUGGGACUGGGACACGGCCCAGACUCCUACGGGAGGCAGCAGUGGGGAAUUUUGGACAAUGGGCGAAAGCCUGAUCCAGCCAUGCCGCGUGUCUGAAGAAGGCCUUCGGGUUGUAAAGGACUUUUGUCAGGGAGGAAAUCCCUAGUGCUAAUAACACUGGGGGAUGACAGUACCUGAAGAAUAAGCACCGGCUAACUACGUGCCAGCAGCCGCCGUAA